rnacentral:misc_RNA from 1 species
AAGACUAUAGACCUGCGGAGUACCUGCGGAAGGAUCAUUACCGAGUUAGGGUAGUCACUCACUGCCCGACCUCCCAACCCUGUGUCUACCACACUUUGUCGUUGCUUCGGCGGACCGGUUGACCAACUGGUCGUGACCGCCGGGGGCUGGCUCUGUCCCCCCUGGAGAGCGUCCGUCGAUGGCCCAACCACAAAACUCUUGUACCGAAACGUGUCGUCUGAAUUAUAUUUGAGAAAUCAA